AUCCUUCUGUAGUUCUUAAGGGUAAUGAAUAAGUUUCCAUGUGCACGUGUGAGAUGUUUCCCAAAAACUUUAUUAUGAAGUUGGCGUACUACUCUUCUGUCA
ensembl:snoRNA